UACAGAGGGGGCAAGCGUUAUUCGGAAUUAUUGGGCGUAAAGGGCGCGUAGGCGGCUUUGCAAGUGACGGGUGAAAUCCCUCGGCUUAACCGAGGAACUGCCUGUCAGACUGCAUGGCUUGAGACCGGGAGAGGUGAGUGGAAUUCCCAGUGUAGCGGUGAAAUGCGUAGAUAUUCGGAAGAACACCAGUGGCGAAGGCGGCUCACUGGUCCGGUACUGACGCUGAGGUGCGAAAGCGUGGGGAGCAAACAGG
rnacentral:rRNA from 1 species